rnacentral:sRNA from 1 species
UUGCUUCUUCUUCUUCUUCUUCUUCUUCUUCUUCUUCAACUCGUU